AGUGAACGCUGGCGGUAGGCCUAACACAUGCAAGUCGAACGGCAGCACAGUAAGAGCUUGCUCUUACGGGUGGCGAGUGGCGGACGGGUGAGGAAUACAUCGGAAUCUACUUUUUCGUGGGGGAUAACGUAGGGAAACUUACGCUAAUACCGCAUACGACCUACGGGUGAAAGCAGGGGAUCUUCGGACCUUGCGCGAUUGAAUGAGCCGAUGUCGGAUUAGCUAGUUGGCGGGGUAAAGGCCCACCAAGGCGACGAUCCGUAGCUGGUCUGAGAGGAUGAUCAGCCACACUGGAACUGAGGCACGGUCCAGACUCCUACGGGAGGCAGCAGUGGGGAAUAUUGGACAAUGGGCGCAAGCCUGAUCCAGCCAUACCGCGUGGGUGAAGAAGGCCUUCGGGUUGUAAAGCCCUUUUGUUGGGAAAGAAAAGCAGCAGGUUAAUACCCCGCUGUUCUGACAGUACCCAAAGAAUAAGCACCGGCUAACUUCGUG
rnacentral:rRNA from 1 species